rnacentral:rRNA from 1 species
UACGUAGGGUGCAAGCGUUGUCCGGAAUUAUUGGGCGUAAAGAGCUCGUAGGCGGUUUGUCGCGUCUGCUGUGAAAACUCAGGGCUUAACCCUGAGCCUGCAGUGGGUACGGGCAGACUAGAGUGUGGUAGGGGAGAUCGGAAUUCCUGGUGUAGCGGUGGAAUGCGCAGAUAUCAGGAGGAACACCGGUGGCGAAGGCGGCUCACUGGCCCGAUACUGACGCUGAGGCACGAAAGCGUGGGGAGCAAACAGG